UAACGCGUGAGUAACCUGCCUCAUACAGGGGAAUAACAGUUAGAAAUGACUGCUAAUGCCGCAUAAGCGCACAGGGCCGCAUGGCCCGGUGUGAAAAACUCCGGUGGUAUGAGAUGGACUCGCGUCUGAUUAGCUAGUUGGCAGGGUAACGGCCUACCAAGGCGACGAUCAGUAGCCGGCCUGAGAGGGUGAACGGCCACAUUGGGACUGAGACACGGCCCAA
rnacentral:rRNA from 1 species